UUAUUUUUGCACGUUUCUGGUUUGUUUACGAUUGCGUUUCGUUCUCCAGGGGUCAUUUAGAGAUGCUGAACGAAUUGGUUAAGAUGGAAAAGUCUGGAGUGCAACAGAAGAUUUUGUUGUUCCACGCUUUAGAGAGGAUUUCACCUGCGAGAGCAACUAAGAAAUGACGUCGAGGGGAUGGUGAGACAGUUUGGGAUGAUGUCAACCACCUUGGAGAGGAUGGGACCUUCAGGAGGACCCUGUCUGAAGACCCUUGGGCAGGGAAAACAUCAGGAAAUCUACUGCUGAACCAUACAGGAUACUCUACACAGACAAGAGGUCGAGGAGGACGCGAUCAAGAUUUCAGCCGUCCGAGGGAACUGCGACCACGGACGCGGUGGGACUGUGUUACCAACGUGCCAAGACUUUUAGUUCGUGGAGAUUCAGAUCACCUUGCUGAAGACUGUGCCAGAGAGUUCAAUUCAGCUCAAGGAAAAUCAGAGAAAUAUGGCGAAGGUUAUCCAGUGGGGACACCAUCGAUAUAGCAACAGAGACAAUCUCGAAGAGGCUGACAAGGUCUUUAUAGGUUAGUGUCAAGGUAGGUCAUAUUCAGACCAAGGCAUUGGUGGACUGUGGGGCAGUCCCUAAUAUUACUCAUACCCUCGUGUAUUGAGAAAUCAAAGCGAGGAUUAUAACCUCUGACAUACACCCACCAGACUAUGAGGUAUUACUGGUGGAGCUAUGCCAGCCGCAGGAAUCGCUCAACUACCCUGCAAAUUUGCGGAUUAAAAGUUUGAAAUAGAAUUCCUGGGCAGAUCCAGAAAAAAAAAACUUUGUUUCCCGGGAGAAUUGCAAGUGCAGACAUUGAUAAUUGAUUUUGGGUUAAAGGAAAUCUGUGUAUGGGAACAGAUAACAAACCCUGGAGUUAUACAGACAAUGGGUACUAGAGGGAUCAGAUGUAGUCUCAGGGGCUUCAACCACAUAUAAACAAAAGCUGGGAAAAAAACAUUCCUACACAGGGCACCCUCACAAUCUCCCAGAUCAAGACUGGGGCUUAGAGAGGCGGAAAAUGAUGAGAAAAUUAAUCAUCAUGAGUGUAGAUUCAGCAGAAGAGAUACCCCCAAACCAUGCUGCGGUUGUUUGGGUUACUCUUCCAUCAUAUGACGAGAUGUUCCAGGAGGGAACCAUUGUGCUGAUUCAUAGUUGGGUCAAUAAUUUUUUGGCUGAGCUAUAGCCUUGCCCCAUGGAUCUGCAACAACUCAAAGGAUCACCAUACCACAGUGGAAAUUUCAAAUAAUGCAUCAGAGGAUGCAGUGAUUCUUACAGAAGGUUAUUCUAACCUGUAAAGCCCCUAUUACACAUAUCCGGUUUCCUACGGCCAACCUGGCCUACGGCGCCGUAGGAAAAUUCUGGCCUACGGCUAGAGUUAUUACACGUAUUUGAACGGCCGGUGGCAAGUGGGUCUGUGUGGCACUGUUUGUGGUGGAGUCACCAUGUCUUCUCUCGACGACAGUCUCGUUGCUAUUGCUCUAGCGUGCUGUUUGAAGGUGAAAACAAGAAAA